rnacentral:rRNA from 1 species
UACGUAGGGUGCAAGCGUUAAUCGGAAUUACUGGGCGUAAAGGGUUCGUAGGCGGUUCGUUAAGUCUGUCGUGAAAUCCCCGGGCUCAACCUGGGAAUUGCGAUGGAUACUGGCGAGCUAGAGUGUGUCAGAGGAUGGUGGAAUUCCCGGUGUAGCGGUGAAAUGCGUAGAGAUCGGGAGGAACAUCAGUGGCGAAGGCGGCCAUCUGGGACAACACUGACGCUGAAGCACGAAAGCGUGGGGAGCAAACAGG